AGGGAUCAUUACCGAGUUUACAACUCCCAAACCCCUGUGAACAUACCUUAUGUUGCCUCGGCGGAUCAGCCCGCGCCCCGUAAAAAGGGACGGCCCGCCGCAGGAACCCUAAACUCUGUUUUUAGUGGAACUUCUGAGUAUAAAAAACAAAUAAAUCAAAACUUUCAACAACGGAUCUCUUGGUUCUGGCAUCGAUGAAGAACGCAGCAAAAUGCGAUAAGUAAUGUGAAUUGCAGAAUUCAGUGAAUCAUCGAAUCUUUGAACGCACAUUGCGCCCGCCAGUAUUCUGGCGGGCAUGCCUGUUCGAGCGUCAUUUCAACCCUCAAGCCCAGCUUGGUGUUGGGAGCUGCAGUCCUGCUGCACUCCCCAAAUACAUUGGCGGUCACGUCGAGCUUCCAUAGCGUAGUAAUUUACACAUCGUUACUGGUAAUCGUCGCGGCCACGCCGUUAAACCCCAACUUCUGAAUGUUGACCUCGGAUCAGGUAGGAAUACC
rnacentral:rRNA from 1 species